CUUUACUGUAGCUUUGUAUUGGACUUUGAACGGAUCUGUGUAGGAUAGGUGGGAGGCUUUGAAGCAGGGUCGCUAGAUCUUGUGGAGCCAACGUUGAAAUACCACCCUGGUGCGUUUGAGGUUCUAACCUAGGCCCGUUAUCCGGGUCGGGGACAGUGCAUGGUAGGCAGUUUGACUGGGGCGGUCUCCUCCCAAAGCGUAACGGAGGAGUUCGAAGGUACGCUAGUUACGGUCGGACAUCGUGACGAUAGUGCAAUGGCAUAAGCGUGCUUAACUGCGAGACUGACAAGUCGAGCAGAUGCGAAAGCAGGACAUAGUGAUCCGGUGGUUCUGUAUGGAAGGGCCAUCGCUCAACGGAUAAAAGGUA
rnacentral:rRNA from 1 species